rnacentral:rRNA from 1 species
UGGGGAAUAUUGCACAAUGGGCGCAAGCCUGAUGCAGCCAUGCCGCGUGUGUGAAGAAGGCCUUCGGGUCGUAAAGCACUCUCAGCGAGGAGGAAGGUGGUGAGCUUAAUACGCUCAUCAAUUGACGUUACUCGCAGAAGAAGCACCGGCUAACUCCGUGCCAGCAGCCGCGGUAAUACGGAGGGUGCAAGCGUUAAUCGGAAUUACUGGGCGUAAAGCGCACGCAGGCGGUUUGUUAAGUCAGAUGUGAAAUCCCCGGGCUCAACCUGGGAACUGCAUUUGAAACUGGCAAGCUAGAGUCUCGUAGAGGGGGGUAGAAUUCCAGGUGUAGCGGUGAAAUGCGUAGAGAUCUGGAGGAAUACCGGUGGCGAAGGCGGCCCCCUGGACGAAGACUGACGCUCAGGUGCGAAAGCGUGGGGCAGCAAACAGGAUUAGAUACCCUGGUAGUCCACGCUGUAAACGAUGUCGAUUUUGGAGGUUGUGCCCUUGAGGCGUGGCUUCCGGAGCUAACGCGUUAAAUCGACCGCCUGGGGAGUACGGCCGCAAGGUUAAAACUCAAAGGAAUUGAC